rnacentral:misc_RNA from 1 species
AUCAUGAAGUUUGCUCGUACGCAUGCGCUAAGUCUUUGUUAGCAGGAUUUUUUACAUGCGCACACUGUAUGUGUACUGCAUGCUGCAUUUAAUUUACGCGUCAUUCCACUACAUCGUCGUGCACUAAGGAAAGCAAAAUGAGCCGUAGAAGCGACGAAAAAAUGAGGAAGCUCUUUCUGGGCGGUCUUCACCGCGACACGGUGGACGAUGAUAUCAAAGAUUACUUCAGCAAGUUUGGUACAGUGGAGGACCAAGUGGUAAUCCGCAAACCAAACGGGGAGUCCAAGGGUUUCGGGUUCGUCACGAUGUCCAACAUGGAGGAGACGGAACUGGUGCUGAACGAGAACAGCGACGGCAGACAAGAGAUGAUGGGCAACAGCGUGGAGGUCAAGAGAGCAGUGCCUCGCGAGUCACAAGGCGGACGAGAUGGUGGUGGUGGUGGUGGGAGAUUCAGGGAUAGCAUGUCUAACAAAUCUGUCAAGAAGAUGUACAUUGGCAACCUGCCCAUGCAGAUGUCCGAGCAGAACCUGGAGGAUUUCUUCUCACAGCACGGCACCGUGACCAACGUCAAGAUCCCGACGUCGCGGGAUACCGGGGAGAGGCAGAAGUAUGCCUUCGUGGAGCUGGAAGAAACGCACGCUGUGGAUAAGCUUGUCUUGCAAGGUGACCACGAGUUCAACGGCCUGAAGUUCUACGUCAAGAAGGCCAUGCCCCAGGGUGACCGUGACGGUCGUCGCGGCGGCGGUGGUGGCGGCGGUGGUAGGAGCUAUGGCGGAGGUGGCUACGGUGGUGGUGGCAGCUAUGGUGGUGGUGGCUACGGUGGCGGCGGUGGUGGUUACGGCGGCGGAAGAGGUGGCAGUUCGUAUGGCGGGGGAAGCAGUGGAGGAUUCAGGAGAACCGGAGGUCGCGGUGGAAGCAGUGGAGGCUAUGGAGGUAGUAGUGGUGGCGGCGGUGGUGGUGGUAGAUACGGUGGUAGCAGCGGUGGUGGUUACGGAGGUGGGGGCAGUUACGGCGGAGGCAGCGGCUCAUACGGCAGCGACUCGUACGGCAGCGGGGGCAGCAGUUACGACAGCUUCGGAUCCAACUACGGCCAGAGCACGUCAAGCUAUGGUCCCAUGAAAAGCGGCGGUGGCGGUGGAAGGAGUAACUAUGGAGGCUCCAACAACAGCGCAGGGGGCUACGGCGCCGGUAGUUACUCCAACGGCUCUAGUGGCUACAGUACUGGGGGAAGCACGGGUGGCUAUGGCAGUGGUGGCACCGGGGGCUAUGGAAGCACCGGAGGCAGUGGGGGUGGCGGCUACCGAAGCAACCCUUACUAGGCUCAGUAUCAUUCCUUCACCAGUUGCUUCCUUGAGGUACAUUGGAGUGCUUGCCCGUUAAUUUUGGGGGUGACUUAUUGCAAGGAAUUGGAGAAAUCCUGCUGAGUUUCCUUAAGCCGUGUUCAGGUGUACUGUGAUGGUACAUGUGCCAGGGAGGGG